UUUUUUUUUUUUUUUGGACUCGAUAGUUGAUUUCUCCGUCAAGAAGUAGUUGGUACCCGAUACCCGAAGUAUUCAUGUACCAGUUGCUAAGUUAUCGGUUAUCGAUUGUUAGUUCCUUUUAUUGGUAUUUUCUUCUAGUGGUGUGUGCGUAUUAUAGUUGUAUGUUGUUUUUCUUAAUGAAUUUGCACAAUUCAUUAAAGUGUUCGCUGGAGAAGGUUUUGAGAAUCGCUGGACAUACAAAGAUUUGGUGAUUGUCGGUAUUUGGUAUAUUGCAGAUUUCGCAUAUGUUGGAAUUUUCAGCCUUUAUUAAAUACAGGAGUGAGGUUAGUGCCAUAAAACCAGUGACGAGUUGGCGGUUCAGGAAAAAAUUGGGAGAAGUGUUGAUAAACUAAUGAAUAGCCAUCCUUUAUUGCCAGCUUACUAAUAUUUCUAGAUGUUUACAACUCAGCAAGGCAUAUCUACUAGGUAGCACAGUAAACAAAUAUGAUGUAAAAUAAAGUUUAAAUAUACAGUUUUAGUGCCAAUUUCCAAAACAAAAAUACAUUUUUUCGGUAUUUCUGGAAGUACACCUACAAGAGUUACAGUGGAAUCAACAUUCCAUUAAUGCAUUGUUUGAACAUAACGGAAGACAAAUAAAACUCGUCUUCCUAAGAUAUAGAACAUAUGAACUGCAUUUGCAUGUCGAGGAACGCCGAAAAUCAGAGAUUAUUUAUUAUUUUUAUAAAGUAUGCCAGUCGUCAUACAUAAAUAUAUUAGGUAUGAAAAUAAAUUUUAUUUGAAAAAUGACAAGGAAGGAGUUAUUUCGAGAGGACCUCUAUUUUUUUGCCUAUUAGGCUAACUGACCGAUUUUAUACGGACAUUUAUUGGGGACUUGUCUCAAACAAUUUUCUAUUUUAAUUUGCAGUGUUUUCCCAAAUUUCCUGUGCUUAAGCCGCUUCUCAGGACAGCCAUAUAAUUUUCAAAACAUCCUCAUCCUUAUUAUCCAAAACCACAAUUCUGUUUUCAUUUCGC